rnacentral:tRNA from 1 species
AGGGCUUAGUUUAAUUAAAGCGAUUGAUUUGCAGUCAGUAGAUGUAAGAUGGAGUCUUGCAGUCCUUA